rnacentral:rRNA from 1 species
GACGAACGCUGGCGGCGUGCUUAACACAUGCAAGUCGAACGGAAAGGCCCCUUUGGGGGUACUCGAGUGGCGAACGGGUGGGUAACACGUGAGUAACCUGCCCUUGACUUCGGGAUAACUUCAGGAAACUGGGGCUAAUACCGGCUAGGAAUCCUUGCUGCAUGGUGGGGGUUGGAAAGCUUCGGCGGUUUUGGGUGGACUCGCGGCUUAUCAGCUUGUUGGUGGGGUAGUGGGUUACCAAGGCUUUGACGGGUAGCCGGCCUGGGAGGGCGACCGGCCACAUUGGGACUUGGAUACGGCCCAGACUCCUACGGGAGGCAGCAGGGGGGAAUAUUGCCAAAUGGGCGGGAGCCUGAUGCAGCAACGCCGCGUGCGGGAUGACGGCCUUCGGGUUGUAAACCGCUUUCAGCAGGGGCGAAGCUUGUGGUGACGGUACCUGCAGAAGAAGCACCGGCUAACUACGUG